UCCUGGUUAACCCAGGCAGUCUCGUUAGAGUUCCCGCCUUUACGCGUUGGCAACUAACGAUAAGGGUUGCGCUCGUUGCUGGACUUAACCAAACACCUCACGGCACGAGCUGACGACAGCCAUGCAGCACCUAUGUAAAGACCCUUUCGAGAAAUAUCAUUUCUGAUAUCGUCCUCUACAUUUCGAGCCCAGGUAAGGUUCUUCGCGUUGCAUCGAAUUAAACCACAUGCUCCACUGCUUGUGCGGGCCCCCGUCAAUUCUUUUGAGUUUUAGCCUUGCGGCCGUACUCCCCAGGCGGGGUGCUUAAUGCGUUAGCUACGGCACGGAAGGAGUUGAGCCUUCCUACUUCUAGUAUGCAUCGUUUACGGCUAGGACUAC
rnacentral:misc_RNA from 1 species